CGAAUCAAUAGGAGCUUGCUCCUGUUGGUUAGCGGCGGACGGGUGAGUAACACGUGGGCAACCUGCCUGUAAGACUGGGAUAACUUCGGGAAACCGGAGCUAAUACCGGAUAAUCCUUUCCUAUACAUGUAGGAAAGCUGAAAGACGGUUUCGGCUGUCACUUACAGAUGGGCCCGCGGCGCAUUAGCUAGUUGGUGAGGUAACGGCUCACCAAGGCGACGAUGCGUAGCCGACCUGAGAGGGUGAUCGGCCACACUGGGACUGAGACACGGCCCAGACUCCUACGGGAGGCAGCAGUAGGGAAUCUUCCGCAAUGGACGAAAGUCUGACGGAGCAACGCCGCGUGAGCGAUGAAGGCCUUCGGGUCGUAAAGCUCUGUUGUUAGGGAAGAACAAGUAUCGGAGUAACUGCCGGUACCUUGACGGUACCUAACCAGAAAGCCACGGCUAACUACGUGCCAGCAGCCGCGGUAAUACGUAGGUGGCAAGCGUUGUCCGGAAUUAUUGGGCGU
rnacentral:rRNA from 1 species